UACGUAGGGUGCAGGCGUUAAUCGGAAUUACUGGGCGUAAAGCGUGCGCAGGCGGCUUCUCAAGUCAGAUGUGAAAUCCCCGGGCUCAACCUGGGAAUGGCGAUGAAGACUGCAAGGCUAGAGUUUGGCAGAGGGGGUAGAAUUCCACGUGUAGCAGUGAAAUGCGUAGAUAUGUGGAGGAACACCGAUGGCGAAGGCAGCCCCCUGGGUCAAAACUGACGCUCAUGCACGAAAGCGUGGGGAGCAAACAGG
rnacentral:rRNA from 1 species